ensembl:lncRNA
AUGAAGUGCUUGGGACAUUGCCUUGCACUGGAAGAAGUCUCCAGAAAUGAUGAAAACCGUUCCUAUCAACCUGUCAAAAGGGGAAAUCAGCCUCACAAGGGAGUCCGAGGGUUGGGAGAGGCUACUCUUCCCACCUGCCCUCUCAGUCCAUCAACCAGCGGCAACCGGAAGUCCUACUCAUGCGGCAAGACUCACGUGGUGCCAGGGACAGAGCAGGGAACACGAGCCACCUCAGCCCUGGAGCUCAUGCCUCAGGGCAUCACCCAGUGCUUCUGCCCCAGUGAAUGGUCCAGUGCCCGUGCCUCAGUGCUCCGGAGCCCAGAGGAAGAAGUAAAGCAUUUCCUAUGUUGACCAGCGCCAAGUGCUAAGGGGCACAAGGAACUGGUGUCAUUUUAGAGGGUGACACAGAAGGCUUCCCUGGAACCAUGGAGUAAAGACCUAAGGAGCUGAGAGAAAGAUGUUCAGUCAGAGGAAACAACAAGCCAAAGACGGAGCCUGAUGCUUUAGAAAAAAAGGGCCCCGGGGCCAGUGUGGCUGGAGGGGCUGCAGUAGAGUUCCCAGCCGGCUCCCUUCUUCCUGGGUCUCUGAGCCUUCCCCUCAGGCUACCUACAGGUUAGGGAAGCAGCCAGCCGACUCUCUGUGAUUCUGUUUCAGCCACACUGUGUCUGUCGGCACCAACUUUUUCCAACAGUGUUUGCUCAUUUUAUGUCUCUGGGUCACAUUUUGGUACUUCUUGCGAUAUUUCAAACGUUUUCAAUCUUAUUGUAUUUGUUACAAUGAUCUGCAGUCGGUAAUCUUUGAUGUUACUAUUGCGAAAAGAGUACAACUCCCAAAAGGCUCAGAUGAUGGUCAGCAUUUUUUAGCAAUGAAGCACACUUUUAAUUAAGGUAGGCACAUUGUGGAGACAUAAUGCUAUUGCACACUUAAUAGACUACAGUAUAGUGUGAUGAUAACUUUUAUACACACCGGGAAAUCAAAAAGCUGUGUGACUAGCUUUAUCUCUAUUGUGA